rnacentral:misc_RNA from 1 species
UUAUGGGUGUGAAACUAAUUGCUUGGGCCACACAUAGACCAUGUUCAAACACUUGUCGAUGCAUAAUUUUUACAGCGCUAGUUUUAGAAGUUUGGGAUGAAAUUGCAACCCCUUGAAACUCUUAACUGAUGUGUACUCAGCUCAUUUCAUUGUAAUUAUGUCUUAUUUCUUUUCUUCUACAGAUUGGAAUCAUUUUUCAAGCCAGUUGCCAACUCAUCUAUACCUAUUAAACGAAA